rnacentral:rRNA from 1 species
UCAAGUUAUUAAGGGUGCAGGGCGGAUGCCUUGGCACUAGGAGCCGAUGAAGGACGUGAUAAGCUGCGAUAAGCUUCGGGGAGUUGCACGUAAACUUUGAUCCGAAGAUUUCCGAAUGAGGAAACUCACUUAGAGUAAUGUCUAAGUAUCAUUAAGUGAAUACAUAGCUUAAUGAGGGGAACUCAGGGAACUGAAACAUCUAAGUACCUGAAGGAAGAGAAAGAAAUUCGAUUCCGUAAGUAGCGGCGAGCGAACGCGGAUUAGCCCAAACCAAUAAAGUUUUCUUUAUUGGGGUUGCGGACAUAUCAUAACGAAGAGGUAUCGUAAUUGAAGAGGUUUGGAAAGACCCACCACAGAAGGUAAUAGUCCUGUAUGUUAAACGAGAAGACUUCAGAUAUGAUCCAGAGUACCACGGGACACGUGAAACCCUGUGGGAAGCAGGAGGGACCACCCUCCAAGGCUAAAUACUACCUAGUGACCGAUAGCGUAUAGUACCGUGAGGGAAAGGUGAAAAGAACCCCGGGAGGGGAGUGAAAUAGAACCUGAAACCCUGCACUUACAAGCUGUGGAAGCACAUUUCUUGUGUGACCGCGUACUUUUUGUAGAACGGGCCAACGAGUUACGUUAAGUAGCAAGGUUAAGCACUUAAGGUGCGGAGCCGUAGCGAAAGCGAGUUUUAACUGAGCGUUCAGUUACUUGACGUAGACCCGAAACCGGGCGACCUACCCAUGAGCAGGAUGAAGCGAAAGUAAAAUUUCGUGGAGGUCCGAACCCACGAGCGUUGAAAAGCUCGGGGAUGACUUGUGGGUAGCGGUGAAAUUCCAAUCGAGCCCGGAGAUAGCUGGUUCUCCCCGAAAUAGCUUUAGGGCUAGCCUCAAGGUGAGAGAUACGGAGGUAGAGCACUGAAUGUCCUAGGGGGUAUUGCACCUACCGAAGACUAUCAAACUCCGAAUGCCGUCAUCUUAUACUUGGGAGUCAGACUGUGGGUGAUAAGAUUCAUAGUCGAAAGGGCAACAGCCCAGAUCGUCAGCUAAGGUCCCUAAAUGUAAGUUAAGUGGUAAAGGAUGUGGGAUUGCACAGACAACCAGGAUGUUGGCUUAGAAGCAGCCACUCAUUCAAAGAGUGCGUAAUAGCUCACUGGUCGAGUGAUCCUGCGCCGAAGAUUUCCGGGGCUAAAACUUACUACCGAAGCUACGGCAUCAGUAAUGAUGGGUAGGGGAGCUUCCCAUACGGGUUGAAGCAUGACCGUAAGGACAUGUGGACAGUAUGGGAGUGAGAAUGUUGGCAUGAGUAGCGAGAUGUGGGUGAGAAUCCCACAGGCCGUAAACCCAAGGUUUCCAGGGGAAGGUUCGUCCGCCCUGGGUUAGUCGGGACCUAAGCUGAGGCCGAAAGGCGUAGGUGAUGGACAACAGGUUGAUAUUCCUGUACUACCGAUAACCAUUUGAGAGAAGGGAUGACACAGUAGGAUAAGCUAAGCACACUGUUGGUUAUGUGUGCCCAAGCAUUGAGGCAGUCAAAGUAGGCAAAUCCGCUUUGAUAAUGCUGGGAUGUGAUGGGGAGCGAAAUUUAGUAGCGAAGUAGCUGAUUUCACACUGUCAAGAAAAGUCUCUAUCGAGGUUAAAGGUACCCGUACCGCAAACCGACACAGGUGGGUGAGGAGAGUAUCCUAAGGCCAGCGAGAGAACUGUUGUUAAGGAACUCGGCAAAAUGACCCCGUAACUUAGGGAUAAGGGGUGCCACCAUCAGGUGGCCGCAGAGAAUAGGCCCAAGCGACUGUUUACCAAAAACAUAGGUUUCUGCUAAGUCGCAAGACGAUGUAUAGGAGCUGACGCCUGCCCGGUGCUGGAAGGUUAAGGGGAUCUGUUAGAGCAAUCGAAGCAGUGAACUUAAGCCCCAGUAAACGGCGGCCGUAACUAUAACGGUCCUAAGGUAGCGAAAUUCCUUGUCGGGUAAGUUCCGACCCGCACGAAAGGCGUAACGAUUUGGGCACUGUCUCAACAACAGACUCGGUGAAAUUGUAAUUCCGGUGAAGAUGCCGGAUACCUGCGACAGGACGGAAAGACCCCAUGGAGCUUUACUGUAGCUUGACAUUGGGUCUUGGUACUACAUGUACAGGAUAGGUGGGAGGCUUUGAAACCAGGACGCCAGUUUUGGCGGAGCCAUCCUUGGGAUACCACCCUUGUAGUACUGGGACUCUAACCAUAGGCCAUGAAUCUGGUCUUGGGACACUGUCAGGUGGGCAGUUUGACUGGGGCGGUCGCCUCCCAAAAGGUAACGGAGGCGCUCAAAGGUUCUCUCAGUACGGUCGGAAAUCGUACGUAGAGUGUAAAGGCAAAAGAGAGCUUGAUUGCAAGACAUACAGGUCGAGCAAGGAUGAAAAUCGGACUUAGUGAUCCGGUGGUUCUGCGUGGAAGGGCCAUCGCUCAACGGAUAAAAGCUACCCUGGGGAUAACAGGCUUAUCUCCCCCAAGAGUCCACAUCGACGGGGAGGUUUGGCACCUCGAUGUCGGCUCAUCACAUCCUGGGGCUGUAGUAGGUCCCAAGGGUUGGGCUGUUCGCCCAUUAAAGUGGUACGCGAGCUGGGUUCAGAACGUCGUGAGACAGUUCGGUCCCUAUCCGUCGCAGGCGUAGGAAAUUUGAGAAGACCUGUCCUUAGUACGAGAGGACCGGGAUGGACGUACCUCUGGUGUACCAGUUGUCCUGCCAAGGGCAUGGCUGGG